AUUGAACGCUGGCGGCAUGCUUUACACAUGCAAGUCGAACGGCAGCACGGGCUUCGGCCUGGUGGCGAGUGGCGAACGGGUGAGUAAUGCAUCGGAACGUGCCCAUUUGUGGGGGAUAACUACGCGAAAGCGUGGCUAAUACCGCAUACGCCCUGAGGGGGAAAGCGGGGGAGUUCUUCGGAACCUCGCGCAAUUGGAGCGGCCGAUGUCAGAUUAGCUUGUUGGUGAGGUAAAGGCUCACCAAGGCGACGAUCUGUAGCGGGUCUGAGAGGAUGAUCCGCCACACUGGGACUGAGACACGGCCCAGACUCCUACGGGAGGCAGCAGUGGGGAAUUUUGGACAAUGGGGGCAACCCUGAUCCAGCCAUGCCGCGUGAGUGAAGAAGGCC
rnacentral:rRNA from 1 species